GCUCCGACGCACCAGAGAGGCAGGAUGGGGAGAGGGAGGCAGCAGUGCUCAGGCAGCCACUGUCACCAAAGGGCACGUUUGUGAGCAUGCCCCAAGAAAACAACUUGGUGAGCUCAGGACCAUGCUAUCACACACAGAAGGAAGCAGGGAAUUUCAUCACCUCUCCAGUUUCCCAGCACUUGCAUCUUGAAUGUGUUUCCCACCAACAGCACCAACAAUGCAUUUCAUGUUCAGAAGGCAAAGAACACCACUGAGAGGGAAAUGGAAAAUUUACCACUCCUGAUCAGAUGCCUGGAGAAAUACACUGCUCAGCACCCAGGGGUCUGCUGAAAGAACAGCCAGACCACCUCCUGCAAGAUGUCUUCAAAUUUCCAGGCAGUUUUGGAUGGCAUGAGAACUCCAGAGCAUCACACAUGCUUAUAGACCUCAAAGUCCCUCACAGAGGAGUUCAGCAUUCUAAAGUAUGUUUCCUACUGAAGACUGGCAGCAUAUCCCUCCUUCCUUCACGAACCACCCUUGUCUACAGGCCACUCACAGAAGCAGAGCCUGGGCAUCCACCACACACACGAUGAUGAUAAAAGCCAGGAGAGAGAGUGAACAGGCUCAGGGAAGGGAUGCAGCAGCACACUGGUACAACCACUUGGUAUACAAUAUUGCCAUUAUUUUCCCCCUUGCUAAUCUCCCACCAAAAUACAGCUCUAGGCACACUCAUACAUAAUGGAAGGUGUCAGAAUAAAAGUUACCACUGCACUUGGGCUCAUACCCUGGACUGUGCAGUUUCAUCAGCUCCCUUACAUUAAGUCAGACUCAACAGAAGCUUGGAGCCAAAUUUAACUGCAAGCACUUUGGUGCAGGGACUGCAACAGCAUGAUUUGACACUGCUUUUCUCUACAGACCUCAUAAUCUUCUAAUUUUAAAUGCCCAGGACAAUUUUCAUGCUUUGACCUAAUAAAAAAACCACCAUGUGCAACAAAAGAGCAUCUUAUUUUUAUCAUGGUGGGAGCACUGUUCCAGGUAGGGGGCACAAAUUCCCACAGAGCCUGCACAGGGUGUAAAUAAUUUGGAAAACACAACACUGGGAAGCAUCUUUUCAGGAGCAAACUACUUUGGUUUCACCUCUCUGAGGAAGGCUUGCAAUCUCUGAGUGCCCUUCCAGGCGAGCCUAGCAAGGCACGUCAAAUCUGCAAGGCAAAGCCCCUUUAAAUAAAAGCAGCUGCUGAUGUUAAGAUAAGCAUCCAAGCAGUAAAAAUAAUGAAGCUGGCUCUUAAAUAAUGAGUGCUGAUGGCCCCCUCUGCUUGCAUUCCUAGUCUAAUUACUUACAUGGUUAGCUCAGCCCUAUAUGCCUUUCAAAUUCUGCCAUUUAAAAAUGAAAGUUAAAUCCACUUGGAGAGGACAAGAACUAAUGGGAACUACAAUGUGUGCAUAUUGCUGCUAGAGGUGAGGGUCCUGCUAUGG